UACGUAGGGUGCGAGCGUUGUCCGGAAUUACUGGGCGUAAAGAGCUCGUAGGUGGUUUGUCGCGUUGUUCGUGAAAACUCAUAACUCAAUUGUGGGCGUGCGGGCGAGUACGGGCAGACUGGAGUACUGCAGGGGAGACUGGAAUUCCUGGUGUAGCGGUGGAAUGCGCAGAUAUCAGGAGGAACACCGGUGGCGAAGGCGGGUCUCUGGGCAGUAACUGACGCUGGAGGAGCGGAAAGCGUGGGGAGCGAACAGG
rnacentral:rRNA from 1 species